rnacentral:lncRNA from 1 species
AAUAAUAAGGGAAUGGUGUAUGCAGGAUUCGAACAUGAGACAUGGGGACGGGAGGCAUGAAGCUUCAACCACUCCCCCGUGACUCUCAAUCUGUCAACUUGUGACAUUGAAAAAUAUAUAAUAAAAACCAAAUGGGAAAAAACAAAAAUGAAAAAACCAAGAAUCAAAACCAACAUGCUCACAUGAGCUUCACACACUAUUGU